GGGCGAGUCGUAUAACCUGGAUAGUACACAGCCCCGCGAAGGCUGUAAUCGGGGUUCAAAUCCCCGCUUGCCCG
rnacentral:tRNA from 2 species